GCUGGUGUAGCUCAGCUGGCUAGAGCAGCUGAUUUGUAAUCAGCAGGUCGGGGGUUCGAGUCCCUUCACCAGCUCCA
rnacentral:tRNA from 2 species